rnacentral:rRNA from 1 species
CCGUCAAUUCCUUUGAGUUUUAAUCUUGCGACCGUACUCCCCAGGCGGUCUACUUCACGCGUUAGCUGCGUUACCAAGGAAAUUAAUCCCCGACAACUAGUAGACAUCGUUUAGGGCGUGGACUACCAGGGUAUCUAAUCCUGUUUGCUCCCCACGCUUUCGUGCAUGAGCGUCAGUGUUAUCCCAGGAGGCUGCCUUCGCCAUCGGUGUUCCUCCGCAUAUCUACGCAUUUCACUGCUACAUGCGGAAUUCCACCUCCCUCUGACACACUCUAGCCUUGCAGUCACCAAUGCAGUUCCCAGGUUAAGCCCGGGGAUUUCACAUCGGUCUUGCAAAACCGCCUGCGCACUCUUUACGCCCAGUAAUUCCGAUUAACGCUUGCACCCUACGUAUUACCGCGGCUGCUGGCACGUAGUUAGCCGGUGCUUAUUCUGCGGGUACCGUCAUCGAACCGUGGUAUUGGCACAGUCCCUUUCGUUCCCGCCAAGAGUGCUUUACAACCCGAAGGCCUUCAUCACACACGCGGCAUUGCUGGAUCAGGCUUUCGCCCAUUGUCCAAAAUUCCCCACUGCUGCCUCCCGUAGG